ACGUAGGGUGCAAGCGUUGUCCGGAUUUAUUGGGCGUAAAGAGCUCGUAGGCGGUUUGUCACGUCGGGUGUGAAAAUCCGGGGCUCAACCCCGGACCUGCAUCCGAUACGGGCAGACUUGAGUGUGGUAGGGGAGACUGGAAUUCCUGGUGUAGCGGUGAAAUGCGCAGAUAUCAGGAGGAACACCAAUGGCGAAGGCAGGUCUCUGGGCCACAACUGACGCUGAGGAGCGAAAGCGUGGGGAGCAAACAGG
rnacentral:rRNA from 1 species